AAAGAAUGAAAACUCCGUUUUGGUCCGGGUGAAAAAUGCAGGAAGGGUCUAGAAAUGGACACGGCAACACAAGAGUUUGCUCCAGUUAGCAAAAUUGAUGAAGGAAGCUAUGCACCUGAGUUUUGGCCGAACAUUACUUGCGUAGACUCCUUGCGGUUCGUGUGGUUAACAUUCUGAGGAAGUUUGUCAAAGUGGAUGUUUCAUCUGGAUCUUAUGUUUGCACCAUGCCAAAUUUGAUUGAGAAAGACUAACAGCAAGAUGCAGAAAUGCCAAUUUAAGCGGUACUCUACUUUUAGGACUGACUUACGAUGGCACACCUUUUUCCCCAUCCAAAACUAUUAUUUGUUAACCAUCAUUUAUCACAUUAGCAUUAUGCAAAAGCUAUGUUAACUUUGGCUCCUGCUACUGGAUUAUAUACUGAGUGCUAUUUGAAAGCUAUUUCUAAGUGACACA